rnacentral:lncRNA from 1 species
AAGAAAUGCACAUAUACUGUCUUGUUUUUNCUUAACAGAGGCAAGUCAACUGCACCAAAGAAUCACUGAGUGUGUGUAUCAUGCGCCAAUGAAUUCAUUCAGCUCUUCCAGGUAUGGCAGGAAGUCUGUGAGUUUGUGCGAAAACAAAUCUGAACUCUCAAAUCUGGAGACACCUAACAACCGGGACCGAAACAUCAGCCCUAAUGCCCGACAAAAAAGAGGCUGGCCCAGCAGGCAGAUACCAUCACUAGAUACAUUUGAAGACUUUGAAGCCAUCCCAUCCAGUGCUGAAGAACUCUCCAACUCUUCGGAUAUGGAAGAAGAGAGUCAACUGAACAAUGGAUCCAAUGUUUACCGGGUAGAAGGCAAUUUUGAUGCCUGUUUCCCAGAUUCCCUAACUAUAGACGAUGGAGACUUAGUGCAGUUUAUACAGGAAGGUGAAGACAGACAAUGA